rnacentral:rRNA from 1 species
AUUGAACGCUGGCGGCAAGCCUAACACAUGCAAGUCGAGCGGAUGAAGGGAGCUUGCUCCUGGAUUCAGCGGCGGACGGGUGAGUAAUGCCUAGGAAUCUGCCUGGUAGUGGGGGAUAACGUCCGGAAACGGGCGCUAAUACCGCAUACGUCCUGAGGGAGAAAGUGGGGGAUCUUCGGACCUCUCGCUAUCAGAUGAGCCUAGGUCGGAUUAGCUAGUUGGUGGGGUAAAGGCCUACCAAGGCGACGAUCCGUAACUGGUCUGAGAGGAUGAUCAGUCACACUGGAACUGAGACACGGUCCAGACUCCUACGGGAGGCAGCAGUGGGGAAUAUUGGACAAUGGGCGAAAGCCUGAUCCAGCCAUGCCGCGUGUGUGAAGAAGGUCUUCGGAUUGUAAAGCACUUUAAGUUGGGAGGAAGGGCAGUAAGUUAAUACCUUGCUGUUUUGACGUUACCAACAGAAUAAGCACCGGCUAACUUCGUG